rnacentral:rRNA from 1 species
ACGCUAGCUACAGGCUUAACACAUGCAAGUCGAGGGGAAACGACAUCGAAAGCUUGCUUUUGAUGGGCGUCGACCGGCGCACGGGUGAGUAACGCGUAUCCAACCUGCCCACCACUUGGGGAUAACCUUGCGAAAGUAAGACUAAUACCCAAUGACGUCUCUAGAAGACAUCUGAAAGAGAUUAAAGAUUUAUCGGUGAUGGAUGGGGAUGCGUCUGAUUAGCUUGUUGGCGGGGUAACGGCCCACCAAGGCGACGAUCAGUAGGGGUUCUGAGAGGAAGGUCCCCCACAUUGGAACUGAGACACGGUCCAAACUCCUACGGGAGGCAGCAGUGAGGAAUAUUGGUCAAUGGACGAGAGUCUGAACCAGCCAAGUAGCGUGCAGGAUGACGGCCCUAUGGGUUGUAAACUGCUUUUAUAAGGGAAUAAAGUGAGUCUCGUGAGACUUUUUGCAUGUACCUUAUGAAUAAGGACCGGCUAAUUCCGUGCCAGCAGCCGCGGUAAUACGGAAGGUCCGGGCGUUAUCCGGAUUUAUUGGGUUUAAAGGGAGCGUAGGCCGGAGAUUAAGCGUGUUGUGAAAUGUAGACGCUCAACGUCUGCACUGCAGCGCGAACUGGUUUCCUUGAGUACGCACAAAGUGGGCGGAAUUCGUGGUGUAGCGGUGAAAUGCUUAGAUAUCACGAAGAACUCCGAUUGCGAAGGCAGCUCACUGGAGCGCAACUGACGCUGAAGCUCGAAAGUGCGGGUAUCGAACAGGAUUAGAUACCCUGGUAGUCCGCACGGUAAACGAUGGAUGCCCGCUGUUGGUCUGAAUAGGUCAGCGGCCAAGCGAAAGCAUUAAGCAUCCCACCUGGGGAGUACGCCGGCAACGGUGAAAC